rnacentral:rRNA from 1 species
AUUGAACGCUGGCGGCAGGCCUAACACAUGCAAGUCGAGCGGAUGAAGGGAGCUUGCUCCUGGAUUCAGCGGCGGACGGGUGAGUAAUGCCUAGGAAUCUGCCUGGUAGUGGGGGAUAACGUCCGGAAACGGGCGCUAAUACCGCAUACGUCCUGAGGGAGAAAGUGGGGGAUCUUCGGACCUCACGCUAUCAGAUGAGCCUAGGUCGGAUUAGCUAGUUGGUGGGGUAAAGGCCUACCAAGGCGACGAUCCGUAACUGGUCUGAGAGGAUGAUCAGUCACACUGGAACUGAGACACGGUCCAGACUCCUACUGGAGGCAGCAGUGGGGAAUAUUGGACAAUGGGCGAAAGCCUGAUCCAGCCAUGCCGCGUGUGUGAAGAAGGUCGUCUGAUUGUAAAGCACUUUAAGUUGGGAGGAAGGGCAGUAAGUUAAUACCUUGCUGUUUUGACGUUACCAACAGAAUAAGCACCGGCUAACUUCGUG